GACGAACGCUGGCGGCGUGCUUAACACAUGCAAGUCGAACGGAAAGGCCCUGCUUUUGUGGGGUGCUCGAGUGGUGAACGGGUGAGUAACACGUGGGUAACCUGCCCUUGACUUUGGGAUAACUUCAGGAAACUGGGGCUAAUACCGGAUAGGAGCUCCUGCUGCAUGGUGGGGGUUGGAAAGUUUCGGCGGUUGGGGAUGGACUCGCGGCUUAUCAGCUUGUUGGUGGGGUAGUGGCUUACCAAGGCUUUGACGGGUAGCCGGCCUGAGAGGGUGACCGGCCACAUUGGGACUGAGAUACGGCCCAGACUCCUACGGGAGGCAGCAGUGGGGGAUAUUGCACAAUGGGCGGAAGCCUGAUGCAGCAACGCCGCGUGCGGGAUGACGGCCUUCGGGUUGUAAACCGCUUUCGCCUGUGACGAAGCGUGAGUGACGGUAAUGGGUAAAGAAGCACCGGCUAACUACGUG
rnacentral:rRNA from 1 species